GGCUGGCAUAUCGGUUCUCAGGGUAGAGUCCCAUCCCUGGCCCGCAGUCCGAACAAUCGAUUACACCAUCGAUACACAAACAGCUGUGGCGAACGGAACUACACAACACUACAACAAAAGACGACGGAAAUCCACAACAUAAACAACAAAACCUGCAAUAAACUACAAAACGGAUCCCGGUUCCGGACCCAGGCGUACCCGCCCUGCCUGAGAUGACACCACUCCGUCAUCUCCCUCAUGUUGGCCACCGAAUGGACCUACUUCAUCCUGUGUUGGCCAUCGUGUUUCUCCCUCCCCCUACAGCAA